rnacentral:lncRNA from 1 species
AGAAAAAUCAGCUGUCAGGCAAGGGCUGAAACACUGAAAAAAGAACAUACUGAAGUGAUGAGCUGAGAGAAAAUCCAUCAUUUUAGAUUCAGAAACUUACAUGUCACAUGCAGAACAGUGGUGGCAGCGGUCAGGUUUGAUUAGCUGGCAUCGAUCACAGUAUCUGAUGGCUCUUGAUGCUGUUGUCGUAUAGAUAGGCAAGUCUUUAGCAGCUCUUCUCAAAAUCUCCUGCUGGGACUCUGGUCUCUCUUCUUUUUCGUAUUGUUCUUUAUCAGCUUUUGACAAGCAGAACUCAUUGGAGGGGGAUGCAGGAGAUGUGAAAAUUGUCUUCCCAUAGGACCAUACAAACAUGACAAAUGACAGAUGGAAAAUCACAAGGUACACAACUUUUUCUGCAGUUGAAGAAAUAGUAAACACACACAGCUCCACCACGUAGGCGUAAUAAGACCAGGCCACGACCAGGGCGAUGAAGACCACGGGCACCCAGGCCAGCACCCUCUGGCAGCACUUGAGGACGUGGGACGGCGCCAUCUUCCCCCGGCGGCCGCCGCAGGAGGCAUCGGCGCCGGCGCUGCACGGGCGGCGGCUGCAGCAAUUGCCGCCGCUGCGGAGCCGGCCCCGGGCGGCGCGGGCAGGCCCUGGGCGGGCCGCAGUGGGCGGGAGAUGGGCGGCCCCGCGCCCGCCACCACCUCCUUCUUCUCCUCGUCCUCCUCCUCCUGCCUCUGGGUGGCGGAGCCCGUACAGCGCGGUUCGGUACGGCGUCCUGCCGGGUUCACGGGGCAGUCCCUGCGCGGCAGCCCCCGGCCGCUGUCACUGCACAGCGUGGGACAUCCCUCUGGCCGUCCGGGUCGGCUGGUCCUGUCCCCUCCCAGCUCCUGCGUACCGCCGCCUCUCCUGGCAGGGCACUUCGAGAAGCUGAACUCUGCGGAGCUCCGCUCUACAACAUCAACAUUGCUCUCCUCCUAAAUCCA